AUUAUACUAUAGCUAAGUGGCUGCAUUCAGGUACUACACUCUUCAUUACCAUUGUAAUUUUUUUUGUUUUCAUUAUGUUUCAUAUCCUGCAACAUACAUUAUUUUAGUUUAUUGGUUUUGUUGUUUCGUUUAUUGUUAGAUGAUAUGUUUCUUAUUGCAGCUAAACAUGCAUCUUGUGACCGUUAGCUAUGUUAAUGAUUUUAUGUUCAAACUGCAUGAUGCAGCCAAAGGUGGUGGUAUCACAAUUCUUGGUGAAAUGGGCUUGGAUCCAGGAAUAGCAGUUGAAGCAGUAGAAUACUAGAAUAUACUAUACCACAGAGGAGCAAAUUCUUGUGCAAGAAAAAAGAACAAAGUUUUGUCAUCCCGCCCGUUAAAGAGAAGACUCAGCAAGUGCACUACAUUGAGCAGACACCGGACAGGAUGAACAACUGGGGUUUAAGGGAGUACAUAAUGUAGCACCGAGUUCCAUAAGAGCCUGAUUGAAAUCUCCAGGCCUAUGAUUGUCAACUAGUUGCCCAGCUAGUCUCCUAUAGAAAGAAUAUCAUCAAGGUCAAACAUUACAGAAAUUUCGCCUGCUGCAAAUGCUAGAGAAGAUACUGUAGCCGCCUACCCCACAUGGAUAAAUUAGUGAUAAGUUUCAGCAGCUUAUAAUUGAGCUGCGAAUACUUCCACCAUGGCGUUAAGACUAUAAGUUAAUAUACAACAAUAGUGUACAUCUAAUCACAUCCUCCUCGUUAAUAUACUUCUCUUGUUCAGGAAAGUUUUCAAAUUAAAAAGUACUAAAUUGUUACCAUUC